AUUGAACGCUGGCGGCAGGCCUAACACAUGCAAGUCGAGCGAGCGGCGGACGGGUGAGUAAAGUCUGGGAAACUGCCUGCUGGAGAGGGAUAUCUACUGGAAACGGUAGCUCGUACCGCAUACCCUCAGAUGUGCCCAUAUGGGAUUAGCUAGUAGGUGGGGUAAUGGCUCACCUAGGCGACGAUCCCUUGCUGGUCUGAGAGGAUGACCAGCCACACUGGAACUGAGACACGGUCCAGACUCCUACGGGAGGCAGCAGUGGGGAAUAUUGCACAAUGGGCGCAAGCCUGAUGCAGCCAUGCCGCGUGUAUGAAGAAGGCCUUCGGGUUGUAAAGCACUUUCAGCGGGGAGGCGUUACCCGCAGAAGAAGCACCGGCUAACUCCGUGCCAGCCGCCGCGGUAAUUC
rnacentral:rRNA from 1 species